rnacentral:rRNA from 1 species
GUAGGUGGCAAGCGUUGUCCGGGAAUUAUUGGGGCGUAAAGCGCGCGCAGGCGGUUCUUUAAGUCUGAUGUGAAAGCCCACGGGCUCAACCGUGGAGGGUCAUUGGAAACUGGAGAACUUGAGUACAGAAGAGGAAAGCGGAAUUCCACGUGUAGCGGUGAAAUGCGUAGAGAUGUGGAGGAACACCAGUGGCGAAGGCGGCUUUCUGGUCUGUAACUGACGCUGAGGCGCGAAAGCGUGGGGAGCAAACAGGAUUAGAUACCCUGGUAGUCCACGCCGUAAACGAUGAGUGCUAAGUGUUAGGGGGUUUCCGCCCCUUAGUGCUGCAGCUAACGCAUUAAGCACUCCGCCUUGGGAGUACGGCCGCAAAGGCUG